rnacentral:rRNA from 1 species
CUAAGAAUAUUCCGCAAUGGACGGAAGUCUGACGGAGCGACGCCGCGUGGAUGAAGAAGGCCGAAAGGUUGUAAAGUUCUUUUGCUAGGGGAGAAUAAGUGAGGGAGGGAAUGCCCUCAUGAUGACAAGGACUAGCGAAUAAGCCCCGGCCAACUACGUGCCAGCAGCCGCGGUAACACGUAGGGGGCGAGCGUUGUUCGGAAUUACUGGGCGUAAAGGGCAUGUAGGCGGCUUGGUAAGCCUGGCGUGAAAGACUGCAGCUUAACUGGAGGGAUGCGUUGGGAACUGCUUAGCUUGAGUUACGGAGAGGGAGCUGGAAUUCCUGGUGUAGGGGUGAAAUCUGUAGAUAUCAGGAAGAACACCGAUGGCGAAGGCAAGCUUCUGGUCGAUAACUGACGCUAAGAUACGAAAGCGUGGGGAGCAAACA